AUGGUCCCUGGAUCUUCGUGGGGCGAAAGCGUCACCCUUGUGACCGUGAGCACUGCAGCCAAGCUUCUGAUGUCUUGGCCAGGAGUGGUGCAAGGCUUGUGCAAGCUACUGACUUCAGGCGUCGAACUCACGGCCGUUGUUUCCGUUGUUUGGCUCCAGACCACAAGGCUGCCUCUUGUCGUGACCCGAUUCGAUGCCUCGCCUGCCUGCGCUCUGGGCACCGUGAGAGGGACUGUCGUCGUCGCCACAUUUCCUCCGUCAGAGCUCGCUGCCAUGCGCGUGCCCCCCCCAGCACCGCCUUCUCCUUCCUCAGCCGGACGCUCUUGGGCUUCAGUUGUUGCCCCCGCAACGAACGCCCAAGCUCUGGAGUGUGUGAUGUCUUCUGAAGAUCCUAGUGAAGGUUGUGAUGGUUAUGAUGUUGUGGCAAGGUACGCUGACGCUUUGCUUGCACCUUUUACCGCUGAGCUGCUAUCCAUGGUGGUGAAGGUGUUUCGCCCUUUGAGCUUGUUGGUGGCCCGUGCAACCAGCUUAUUGGAGCUGGCGGAGGUCUCCAAUGGUGACAAGGGGUCGAUCCAAGCCUCUUUGCAGGGACCCUGCUUCUCUGACUCGGACACUCAUGGCUCGAUGUUGACUGCAUUGGCGCCGUUGGUGGCAAAAGAUGGGGACCAAGGUGUCGAGGGCAGCAUGGCCACUGAGUGUAGCGUGGCCAUUUCUACCACGGGCGAAGUGAGGGAUGUUGCUGAGGGAUGCGCCUUGGCGACUGAGAGCGAGGGCACUUUGCAUGACUUCGCCGAGCUGCUCACAGGUCUGACUCCAAUCAUCCAAGGUUUGUGUCGCCUGGUCAAUGCGAAGAAGAUCAAGAAGGUCAACCAGCGGAUCAGUGCCCCCUUGGGGGACAACCCUGCAGGAUGUUAG
rnacentral:rRNA from 1 species